rnacentral:lncRNA from 1 species
CAAUCCUUAAGGCUGUGUUUGGUUCGAGAACUAAAUUGUGAGGGAUAACUCUUGUUGUUGCCGAAAACAGGGGAUAUUCCGGUAUAAAUUAGAACUUGUGUUUGGAUGUUACUGGUUUGUUCCCGAAGGAUAUUUUUGAUAGUUUUUGGAUCUUUAUGUUGGAAUAAGAUAUUGGAUUGAUAAAAUUUAAGUAGAAUAAUAAUUUUGCCCUUGAAUAUUGUAGUGUUCCUGAGGUUUGGAUAGAAUUGGCUACAGUGCUAGUGACUAGUCGACACAUCUGGAGAGUGUCGGACUGAGUCGGAGUCAAUUCUGUACGAAAUGGAUGCAGAAAUGGACUCGGCGCA